GGUUCAUAAGAGUUUCAUAUUUGUACAAUCAAUAUGGAGCGUACGGGAUUGUCUACUCUACUGGGUGAGCGGUUGAGUACGAAAAUGGAAGCUUACGCCUUCUCAAUUGUUGGAAUCAACUUUUUCACGAUGAAAUCGUUGUUCCAGGAGAAUCCUAGAGGAUAUCUAGAAGUAGAUAUUGCAUCCUUUUUAGGAAGGUGAUUAAUUGCGGCACACGCAAUCCCUAGAUUGUAGGAACUCCAAGACAUAUCAAGAUCUUACUUAUUCCAUACCAAAUUAGAUCUCAUGUCUUGCAGAACAAGCAUGCUCAUUUUAGUGAAGUCGCUCAGACUUCGCCCAUAGCCCUAGAAUAGGAUGAUAGUGGCACCACUGCUCCGUUAAUCCAGCUCUGCUCGGAGCUGUUGAGUCCAUGACCAAACUUUUGAGGUAACCAUAUUCCGAUCAAACUUACUCCGGCUCUAGAAAAUCAUGGUCCCACAUCAAUCAAUCAAUGUAAUGGUUCAUGAAGACAAUAAUUUUUAUCUGACCUUUUAUGGUUUUUUUAGUUUUUAUUUUUUAAACAUUAUUGAAUACUUGGAAGUCUUGAAGAUAUUAGGAAAACUCCCAGACAAUUGAGAUUUUAAUAAUUACUAUAAAGAAAAUAGCAGUGCAUCCAUGGAGAACAAAUUGGGGCAGAGUUUUGCUUAAUGUCACCUUUUAACCAAUAGACUGGGAGAAAAAAGGGAAGAUGGGCUUUGAGAAAGCAAAAGACAAAUUAUACAAGAUUAAUGGUGUUGUUGUUGCAGUUUUUAGGAGGGCAGAGAUUCUGAUUCAGAAGGUUGAGUUUUGCUAAGGUUUUGAGGGAUAGCGUCGAGAAGAAGAUUGAAAUACGCUCGCGUAUUUUAUUGUAUUUUUGAGUUUUAUUAGAAAAUGUUACACGUCAAAUAAAAGUGUUAACAAAGUAUAUAUCUAUAAAUUAAGACUAUUAAAUCAUGGAACAUGUGUCUAAAUAUUAGCAAAGAGCUGCAAUGUAGACACAAAAAUGAGGCAAGCAGAACCGUGAUCCAACCAUUUGGGCAUUUGAAUUUUGACUUGUCUCAUUAGUUAGCUAGGAUGAAUUUUCCCACCGUUCGUGCGAACUUUUUUUUCAUUACCAAAUAGUAAUUGCAUUAGGCAGCCUUUAUUUGCUUUUAUUUGUUUUUUCUUCGGGUCUAUUAGAAUUUCUAUCCACCUGACUAUAUAUAUUAUGGUAUUCUCAAGUAAAAAAAAUGUAAAAUUAGUCAAAGCUUACCAUUUGGGGCAUGGGUUUUUGGUAGAGACGUAGAGGCAUACUAAUCAAAUUCCGUGACUUUAAGGAAGAGGGAGUCAAACCCACCAAUGGUGAGUGGUACAUUAUGGCCCAAACGAGGAAAAGAAACCCUAUGGUUUUCUGUUUAAAUAUAUAUAUAUGUGUGUGUGUGUGUGUGUGUGUGUGUGUGUAAUUGUAUGUAUGUAUGUAUGUGUGUGUGUAUAUUGUGGAUGCAAAUUU
rnacentral:lncRNA from 1 species